GAGGGUAUAGCUCAGUGGUAGGGCGCACAAGGUCCUGGGUUCAAUCCCCAGCACCUCCA
rnacentral:tRNA from 1 species